rnacentral:misc_RNA from 1 species
UUUGUGUAUUUUCUGAUUCCUUGGAUGGGUUUUCAGCCAUUCAGUGUUUUUAACAUUUUUGGGCGUUCAAUUUUAGUACGAAUCUCGCUGCGUAGAAAUCCUGUUUUCAGGAGCCGUCUUUUAACGGCUCUGUUGGUUGGUGCUUUCGCCCUUGGCUUUUACUUGGUGUAUACUUUUCGCAAUUUGCUUUUUGGUUAUAACGAAAUUCGAUUCUCUCAUGAUGCA